rnacentral:rRNA from 1 species
CCUACGGGUGGCAGCAGUGGGGAAUAUUGCUCAAUGGGGGAAACCCUGAUGCAGCGACGCCGCGUGAGCGAUGAAGUAUCUCGGUAUGUAAAGCCCUAUCAGCAGGGGAGAAAAUGACGGUACCUGACUAAGAAGCCCCGGCUAAAUACGUGCCAGCAGCCCCGGUAAUGCGUGGGGGGCCAGCGUUAUCCGGAUUUACUGGGGGUAAAGGGGGCGUAGACGGUCCUGCAAGCCAGCUGUGAAAGCUCCGGGGUCAACCCCCGGACUGCAGGUGGAACUGUAAGGCUAGAGUGUGGGAGAGGCAGGCGGAAUGCCUAGUGUAGCGGUGAAAUGCGUAGAUAUUAGGAGGAACACCAGUGGCGAAGGCGGCCUGCUGGACGACGACUGACGUUGAGGCACGAAAGCGUGGGGAGCAAACAGGAUUAGAUACCCGAGUAGUC